rnacentral:rRNA from 1 species
AGUGAACGCUGGCGGCAGGCCUAAUACAUGCAAGUCGAACGGCAGCACAGCAGAGCUUGCUCUGUGGGUGUAGCGUGGCGGGCGGGUGAGGCAUAUAUGUGAAUCUGCUAAGACGCGGGGGAAACCUUAUGGAAACGGACGCUAAUACGGCAAACACUCUGAGGGGGAUGGCUGGGGAGUGAAAGACGGGCCUGGUUUGGCUUAGAGAUUGUUCCGUGCUGGAUUAGCUAGUUGGUAGGGUAACGGCUCACCAAGGCAACGAUGGAUAGCAGGUCUGAGAGGGUGAUCGGCCACACUGGGACUGAGACACGGCCCAGACUCCUACGGGAGGCAGCAGUAGGGAAUAUUCGACAAUGGGCGCAAGCCUGACGCAGCCAUGCCGCGUGAGUGAAGAAGGUCCUCGGAUUGUAAAGCUCUGUUGUCCGGAAAGAAAAGCAUUCUGUUAAUCCCCGCGUAUCCUGACGGUACCGGAAGAAUAAGCACCGGCUAACUUCGUG